ACAGACUAGUCUGGAGGGGAAGGCUUUAACAGCACGAGGAAUUUGUAAUAGAAGUCAAAUAUUAGCACAAGCAAGAUGAUAUCUUGCCCAAAUGAGACUUGAUUACAUUAUUAAUCUCGAUAGUUAUACAUGAUUUUGUGUGCGUGUGAUUUGAAUACAGGAUUAAAAGCCACGAGAUGAGUCACUGAGAUGAGCUGGUUCCUUGGGAAACCCAGGCAGGACUUCCCACGGAUCAGAACUUCCAUGGCCCCUGGGAACACGGAACCUUCCCUUUGUAGAUGUGGUUUUGGGAUCUGAACGUAUCCCCAAGAAGCAGCGUUCGGUCCUUUCACCUGCUAUAAGCCAGCCUGGUUUUCAGCUCAGAUCUGGGCUCUCAGCCUUGUGUUUGUGCCCUUAAAUCCACUCUUCCCCUCCCAGCUCCUUGGGGUGCGCGUCGCAGCGCCGUCGGUGCAGAUUUUCUGAUUUUUUUCAGUAUUUCUAUCCCAGUUUGGCAUUCCAGAGGAUAAAUGGCCCGAAACGUUUUAACAAAUUAAACUAAAAGUAAGCACCGAUCCAUCUGUUUCUGUUUCAUCCCCG
rnacentral:lncRNA from 1 species